GAUGAACGCUGGCGGCGUGCCUAAUACAUGCAAGUCGAGCGAACAGACGAUGAUCUUGCGCCGUGGACGUUAGCGGCAGACGUGUGAGUAACACGUGUAUAACCUACCUAUCAUACUGGUAAAACCUCGGGAAACCGGCGCUUAUACCGUAGAAUAUAUUGAACCGCAGUGGUCGAUAGUAAGAUUCGGUUGUUCGGUCACGUAUCGAUGGUUCUGGGCUGCAUUGGCUAGUUGUUGAGUUAAAGGCUUAGGAAGGCUACGAGGCGUAUGCGACCUGAGGGGGUGAUAGCCCACACUGGAACUGAGACGCGGUCAAGACUCCUGCGGGAGGGAGCAGUAGGGAAUCUUACGCAAUGGGCGAAAGCAUGACGGAGCAACGCCGAGUGAGUGAUGGAAGUCUUGGGAUCGUAAUGCUGUGUUACUAGGGAAGAACAAAUGUGUAAGUAAAUAUGGACGUAUUGACGGUAACUAAUAAGAAAGCCACGGCUAACUACGUG
rnacentral:rRNA from 1 species